rnacentral:lncRNA from 1 species
CAAUUUCUGGAACAAAGUGUUGUACCUUUUUCAAUUUUUUUCGUACUUUAGAUUUUUUUUUUAUCUCAUCUAUGAACAUUCAUACGGGAGGUUUUGGAUCAAAAUAGGCAGAAAUGAUCCGCUGCAUUUCCAGGAGGACUGUGUUCUCCUUAGAGACAAAGUUUAUCCAAAUCGUCAUCCUUUAGUUACACCAUUUACAACACCUCAAAUUAAUGGUAAAGCAUAACAUUUGAGAGAAAGAGCAGAAAAUUUAAUCGCGUGAUUGGUGAAAACAGAAUUCAAGUGGAAUACCAAAUUGGUGAAUAGAAAAUAAACAAAGUAUUGAGUACAUUUUGAAGCCACCCAAAGUCAAAACUAACAGACAUUGUGGAAAUAUGUGCCGCUCUUGUCAACAUACAUAUUUAUGAUAAAACAUUGAUUAAUUAAAUAUCAACUACAAUUAAACAUGCUUUGUUCUUUGCAUUUCCCAAAUUCCACCAGGACAGCUAGAAGCGCAACGUCUAAAAAGAUGAAGUGUGACUUUAAGUCCAUCAUUUUCUUUAUAAUAAAUUAAAAAAAUCCAUGUUAUUUGGACUCUGUAGGAAAGCUGUAUCAUUGUCAAUGAAAGCAAUAAAAUCAAUAAUGAUUUCAAUUUUUUUAAGUUUUGAGACGACCCCUCACAUUUUACCUGUCGUAGUCGUUCUCAACUGUAGGUGUCGAGAGAUGUUGAAAAGGUCUAUU